rnacentral:rRNA from 1 species
AUUGAACGCUGGCGGCAUGCCUUACACAUGCAAGUCGAACGGUAACAGGGAGCUUGCUCCGCUGACGAGUGGCGAACGGGUGAGUAAUAUAUCGGAACGUACCAUUGAGUGGGGGAUAACGUAGCGAAAGUUGCGCUAAUACCGCAUAUUCUCUCCGGAGGAAAGCAGGGGACCGCAAGGCCUUGCGCUCAUUGAGCGGCCGAUAUCAGAUUAGCUAGUUGGUGGGGUAAAAGCUCACCAAGGCGACGAUCUGUAGCGGGUCUGAGAGGAUGACCCGCCACACUGGAACUGAGACACGGUCCAGACUCCUACGGGAGGCAGCAGUGGGGAAUUUUGGACAAUGGGGGCAACCCUGAUCCAGCCAUGCCGCGUGAGUGAAGAAGGCCUUCGGGUUGUAAAGCUCUUUCAGCCGGGAAGGAAACGCAUUGGUUAAUACCUGAUGUGGAUGACGGUACCGGAAUAAGAAGCACCGGCUAACUACGUGCCAGCAGCCGCGGUAAUACGUAGGGUGCGAGCGUUAAUCGGAAUUACUGGGCGUAAAGCGUGCGCAGGCGGUUUUGUAAGAUAGGCGUGAAAUCCCCGGGCUUAACCUGGGAACUGCGUUUAUGACUGCAAAGCUAGAGUACGGCAGAGGGGGGUGGAAUUCCACGUGUAGCAGUGAAAUGCGUAGAGAUGUGGAGGAACACCAAUGGCGAAGGCAGCCCCCUGGGUCGAUACUGACGCUCAUGCACGAAAGCGUGGGUAGCAAACAGGAUUAGAUACCCUGGUAGUCCACGCCCUAAACGAUGUCAACUAGGUGUUGGGAGGGUAAAACCUUUUAGUACCGGAGCUAACGCGUGAAGUUGACCGCCUGGGGAGUACGGCCGCAAGGUUAAACUCAAGGAAUUGACGGG